CCACACCCCUCCUGUUGGCCAACCUGGACCUUGAGCAGGGACCCAGGCCAGCUCACCCAGCCUGCUUGCAGGUGGGAGGUCAUUCUUUGCUGACUCAGGCCCAGACUGGGGCAGGUGCAUGCCUUCAACCCCCUAUCCUGCUAAGAGGACGUGGCAAUUGAACCUGAGCUUCUGGAGCCCAGAGUGGAAUCCUGCCCGAGACCCUGACUUGGUCACGAAAACUCUUCAGGCACAGAAAGCGGGACUCCAGAGAAGCACAACCUCCAGGACAACAAUGGUGUGACUCCCUGAAGGGCCAGGCUUAGCUCUGGGGGAUUCACAUGGUGCCAGUGGAGGCUGCUGCUCCGAGGAGCUGGGAGAUUGUGACUCUGUCGGAGCCUGAGGUGGGGUUCCAGAGAGUUGCCAGCAAUCCUGUGAGGAUGGCCACUGAAGAAAUGGAGGCCCUGGGAAAAUAAACAGCCUCUCCAAGGACCCAGGACCAGCAAGGGGAAGGUGCCCAGUUCUGCUCCAGGCAGAGGUUGCCAAUUAGUGAAAGCAUAUUCGGACGGCAGGUUUCUCGUCUUGUGCUGGCCGCUUACCUUGGUAUGGCCUGUGACAGUCUCCAAGACACUUUCACUCGCACGGUCCCACGAGAACCUUGCAAGGUUCCUGCAAGGGAGGCAUGAGAACCAAACGGACCCAGAGAGGAUGAGUAAGCAGCAUGGCCAGCACUUGCACAGGUGUCUUUUCCAGUCACUCCUCUUUGUGGGGACCCUUGAUGCCAGCGAUAUACUACAUGACCCAGGCUCUCUCCCAUCCAUUUAGAGCAAAGACCUCUGCAUGGGGUUUUCAGAUGUAGGCAGGUCUCUCCCCCGUGGCCCAGCUUUUGGUGAAUAUCCUCGAACGUGUCUAAAACUCAUCUCAACAUUCCCCCCUGACCCCAGCUGCUCUUCUCGCCCCAUUCCUGAGUUCUGUGAGUUGCCCAGCCAGAAACCAGGGUGCCAGGCUUGACUCCUCCCUCACCCCUGCCCAAAAGCCCACGAACGGUGCCUCCUAGCAGCUCUAGAAUUGAUCCCCCUGCCUGUACUCUAGUUCAAGCCACUGUUAUAUCUUCUCCAGACAACUGCAGUAGCGUCCUAAUGGAUGUAGUGACCUGAAUGGUGGCCCUCAAAUCUCAGGCCCCCAUCCUUGGAACCUGUAAUGUUACCUUAUAUGGGAAAGUUCUUGCAGAUGUGAUUAAGGACUUAAAAAAAUUAAAUUGGGGUAAAAUACACAAUAUAAUAUUUACCAUUUUAGUCAUUUUUAAGUGUACAGUUCAGUGGCAUUGAAUGCAUUCAUGUCAUUGUGCAACCAUCAGCACCAUCCAUCUCCAGAACUCUUCAUUUUGCAAGCCUGAAAUUCUGUACCCUUUAAACUUCCCAUUUGUCCCCAAUCCCUGCUCCAAAGCCCAGUGACCACCAUUCUGCUUUCUAUCUCUAUGAAUUUGGCUACUCUAGGGACCUCAUAUAAGUGGAAUCAUACGGUAUUUGUGCUUUUGUGACUGGCU
ensembl:lncRNA